rnacentral:rRNA from 1 species
GGACGGGUGAGUAAUGCCUGGGAUAUGCCUUAGUGUGGGGGAUACUAUUGGAAACGAUAGCUAAUACCGCAUAAUGUCUUCGGACCAAAGAGGGGGACCUUCGGGCCUCUCGCGCUAAGAUUAGCCCAGGUGAGAUUAGCCAGUUGGUGAGGUAAGAGCUCACCAAGGCGACGAUCUCUAGCUGGUCUGAGAGGAUGAUCAGCCACACUGGAAACUGAGACACGGUCCAGACUCCUACGGGAGGCAGCAGUGGGGAAUAUUGCACAAUGGGCGAAAGCCUGAUGCAGCCAUGCCGCGUGUAUGAAGAAGGCCUUCGGGUUGUAAAGUACUUUCAGUAGGGAGGAAGGUGUUGUAGUUAAUAGCUGCAGCAUUUGACGUUACCUACAGAAGAAGCACCGGCUAACUCCGUGCCAGCAGCCGCGGUAAUACGGAGGGUGCGAGCGUUAAUCGGAAUUACUGGGCGUAAAGCGCAUGCAGGUGGUUCAUUAAGUCAGAUGUGAAAGCCCGGGGCUCAACCUCGGAACCGCAUUUGAAACUGGUGAACUAGAGUGCUGUAGAGGGGGGUAGAAUUUCAGGUGUAGCGGUGAAAUGCGUAGAGAUCUGAAGGAAUACCAGUGGCGAAGGCGGCCCCCUGGACAGACACUGACACUCAGAUGCGAAAGCGUGGGGAGCAAACAGGAUUAGAUACCCUGGUAGUCCACGCCGUAAACGAUGUCUACUUGGAGGUUGUGGCCUUGAGCCGUGGCUUUCGGAG